rnacentral:rRNA from 1 species
UGGGGAAUAUUGGACAAUGGGCGAAAGCCUGAUCCAGCCAUGCCGCGUGUGUGAAGAAGGUCUUCGGAUUGUAAAGCACUUUAAGUUGGGAGGAAGGGCAUUAACCUAAUACGUUAGUGUUUUGACGUUACCGACAGAAUAAGCACCGGCUAACUCUGUGCAAGCAGCCGCGGUAAUACAGAGGGUGCAAGCGUUAAUCGGAAUUACUGGGCGUAAAGCGCGCGUAGGUGGUUUGUUAAGUUGGAUGUGAAAGCCCCGGGCUCAACCUGGGAACUGCAUCCAAAACUGGCAAGCUAGAGUACGGUAGAGGGUGGUGGAAUUUCCUGUGUAGCGGUGAAAUGCGUAGAUAUAGGAAGGAACACCAGUGGCGAAGGCGACCACCUGGACUGAUACUGACACUGAGGUGCGAAAGCGUGGGGAGCAAACA